rnacentral:rRNA from 1 species
UACGUAGGGUGCGAGCGUUAAUCGGAAUUACUGGGCGUAAAGCGUGCGCAGGCGGUUUUGUAAGCCAGAUGUGAAAGCCCCGGGCUUAACCUGGGAAUGGCAUUUGGGACUGCAAGGCUGGAGUACGGCAGAGGGAGGUGGAAUUCCAGGUGUAGCAGUGAAAUGCGUAGAUAUCUGGAGGAACACCGAUGGCGAAGGCAGCCUCCUGGGCUAGUACUGACGCUCAUGCACGAAAGCGUGGGGAGCAAACAGG